rnacentral:rRNA from 1 species
AGGACGAACGCUGGCGGCGUGCUUAACACAUGCAAGUCGAGCGGUAAGGCCCUUUCGGGGGUACACGAGCGGCGAACGGGUGAGUAACACGUGGGUGACCUGCCCUCAGCUCUGGGAUAAGCCUGGGAAACUGGGUCUAAUACCGGAUAUGCACUUCGCAUCGCAUGGUGUGUGGUGGAAAGUUUUUUCGGCUGGGGAUGGGCCCGCGGCCUAUCAGCUUGUUGGUGGGUGAUGGCCUACCAAGGCGACGACGGGUA